rnacentral:rRNA from 1 species
ACCCGACUGCUAUCAGAGUGAGACUAAGCCAUACGAGUUAACGUAUGAAUAAUACGUGGCACACGGCUCAGUAACACGUAGUCAACAUGCCCAGAGGACGUGGAUAACCUCGGGAAACUGAGGAUAAACCGCGAUAGGCCAUAAUUACUGGAAUGGGUUAUGGCUUAAACCUAUAUGGCCUCUGGAUUGGACUGCGGCCGAUCAGGCUGUUGGUGAGGUAAUGGCCCACCAAACCUGUUACCGGUACGGGCUCUGAGAGGAGGAGCCCGGAGAUGGGCACUGAGACAAGGGCCCAGGCCCUAUGGGGCGCAGCAGGCGCGAAACCUCUGCAAUAGGCGAAAGCCUGACAGGGUUACUCUGAGUGAUUCCCGCUAAGGGGAUCUUUUGGCACCUCUAAAAAUGGUGCAGAAUAAGGGGUGGGCAAGUCUGGUGUCAGCCGCCGCGGUAAUACCAGCACCCCGAGUGGUCGGGACGAUUAUUGGGCCUAAAGCAUCCGUAGCCGGUCAUGCAAGUCCUCCGUUAAAUCCACCUGCUCAACAGAUGGGCUGCGGAGGAUACUAUAGAGCUAGGAGGCGGGAGAGGCAAGCGGUACUUAGUGGGUAGGGGUAAAAUCCGUUGAUCCAUUGAAGACCACCAGUGGCGAAGGCGGCUUGCCAGAACGCACUCGACGGUGAGGGAUGAAAGCUGGGGGAGCAAACCGGAUUAGAUACCCGGGUAGUCCCAGCUGUAAACGAUGCAGACUCGGUGAUGGGCCGGCUUCAUGCCGGCUCAGUGCCGCAGGGAAGCCGUUAAGUCUGCCGCCUGGGGAGUACGGUCGCAAGACUGAAACUUAAAGGAAUUGGCGGGGGAGCACCACAAGGGGUGAAGCCUGCGGUUC